rnacentral:rRNA from 1 species
GUGCUUAACACAUGCAAGUCGAGUGCGCGUCUGUAGCAAUACAGAUGGCGCACGGCGCACGGGUGCGUAACACGUGGGCAAUCUGCCCUCGGAUGGGGGAUAACCCCGCGAAAGCGGGGCUAAUACCGCAUGACAUUCCGGAGACCUCGGUCUUUGGACUCAAAGCCCGCAAGGGCGUCUGAGGAGGAGCCCGCGCCCGAUUAGCUAGUUGGUGAGGUAACGGCUCACCAAGGCUUUGAUCGGUAGCCGGUCUGAGAGGAUGGCCGGCCACACUGGAACUGAGACACGGUCCAG